CCUACGGGGGGCAGCAGUAGGGAAUAUUGCUCAAUGGGGGAAACCCUGAAGCAGCAACGCCGCGUGGAGGAUGAAGGUUUUCGGAUUGUAAACUCCUUUUGUUAGAGAAGAUAAUGACGGUAUCUAACGAAUAAGCACCGGCUAACUCCGUGCCAGCAGCCGCUGUAAUACGGUGGGUGCAAGCGUUACUCGGAAUCACUGGGCGGAAAGAGCGCGUAGGCGGGAUAGCAAGUCAGAUGUGAAAUCCUAUGGCUUAACCAUAGAACUGCAUUUGAAACUGUUAUUCUAGAGUAUGGGAGAGGUAGGUGGAAUUCUUGGUGUAGGGGUAAAAUCCGUAGAGAUCAAGAGGAAUACUCAUUGCGAAGGCGACCUGCUAGAACAUAACUGACGCUGAGGCGCGAAAGCGUGGGGAGCAAACAGGAUUAGAUACCCCAGUAGUC
rnacentral:rRNA from 1 species